UGUCUAGGUGCUCCUUCCCUGCGCAUAGUAACAUUCCAGGGAGCUGCCUGGGGAAGCUUAACUCUCAAUGCAAGGGGUAGGAAUGUAUCCUGGUGGGAGAGGCAUGACAGCAGGCAGCUGGAACAGGAAACUAAGUAAUAACAUCUUCAACUACAAGCAGAAGUCAAGAAAAACUGAAAGCGGGUCCCUGAAGUCAGCUCUGGAAAGCUGAGAAGAGCACUGUGCUCAGAAUGCUUCGCUGGAUGUUUUUGUCUUUAUUCUUACAGACAACUGGAACCCUGAGAGCCAAGGGAGAUUGUGGAGAGGAUGUGAGCAGAUGGCCGCUGAGGAUAGCUGACCGGGUGGGCUGGAACCCAGGCCAGGACUGCCACCUGAGGAUUGUGCCUGCGAUGUCCAUAUGAUGGUGAAGAGCCAAACAGGGAGCUCUGCUCUGUUGAAAAUCAUAAAGUUGAAAAUGAAAAGAGAUAAAGCCUUAAGCACAGAAGAAUAUUUUGUCUUUGGUGGAAAGAACAACUUAAGAUUUAUUUUAUUUUUUUAUUCUGUAUAUUGGUGUGGGUAUGUGCAUGCAAAUUUGGGUGACUCAAAUCACUUGGAGCUGGGAUUAUAGGCAGUUGAGAGCUGCCAAGCAUAGGAAUCUAACGAAUGUUAGUAUUCUCUGUAUGAGCAGAGAGUACUCCUAACUGCAGAGCCAUAUUUCCAGCUUAAGGAGGGCUUUCAGAAACAAGAUUGAUAGAGAAUACAAAGUUAAUAAUUUGAUGUAUUAAAAAGGUUAA
ensembl:processed_transcript Eldr Egfr long non-coding downstream RNA